rnacentral:rRNA from 1 species
GAUGAACGCUGGCGGCGUGCCUAAUACAUGCAAGUCGAGCGAACAGACGAGGAGCUUGCUCCUCUGACGUUAGCGGCGGACGGGUGAGUAACACGUGGAUAACCUACCUAUAAGACUGGGAUAACUUCGGGAAACCGGAGCUAAUACCGGAUAAUAUAUUGAACCGCAUGGUUCAAUAGUGAAAGACGGUUUUGCUGUCACUUAUAGAUGGUUCCGCGCCGCAUUAGCUAGUUGGUAAGGUAACGGCUUACCAAGGCAACGAUGCCUAGCCGACCUGAGAGGGUGAUCGGCCACACUGGAACUGAGACACGGUCCAGACUCCUACGGGAGGCAGCAGUGGGGAAUCUUCCGCAAUGGGCGAAAGCCUGACGGAGCAACGCCGCGUGAGUGAUGAAGGUCUUCGGAUCGUAAAACUCUGUUAUUAGGGAAGAACAAAUGUGUAAGUAACUAUGCACGUCUUGACGGUACCUAAUCAGAAAGCCACGGCUAACUACGUG